rnacentral:lncRNA from 1 species
UCCCUUCUGUAAAGUUAACGCCUGAUGGGGUCUAGGUAAGACAAGACUUUAUACAUGUGGUCAGGAAAGGUAUAGUUAAGUUUCAACUCAUAGGAAAAGAUAAACGAGGAUUAAUAUCUUAGGCUUUAAGGAAUUUCAAGGCAUGCCCAUCCUAUGAUUGUAUUUGCUACCCAAUCUGCCUAAUUCAUUCAUUUUCCCUCAUCCCUCGACACACUGAGACUUAAAAAUUACUACACUUUAAUCAGAAGUAAAAUAUUUUGCCAAAAUAAAUCACUGCGAAUGGAAAUUGGAGCUUCUCCAUGAGAAAGAGUGUAGCCAGGCUCAGAGGUGCCACAGCCACAAUAAUAGCCCUGAGAAGAGGUCACUGAAGCAGAGUAGUUGCUCACUAAUGGUGGGUAAAUGGUCUUUAGCAGCUAGGGCAGGAGCACAAUUAUCACAAGGGGAGUCUCUGAGCAUGCUCCAUAAAAGAGACCAUCUGUGGCUAUUUGGGAAGAUGUGCACCUAGCUCUGUUUUGGCUUCACAAGGAGGGCCACAGCACCACUUCUGAGCUUGGCUUCUUGUCCCUGCCCUCACCACAUGGGAGGCCAAAAGGCUCUCUCCCUGGUUGUCUUUCAGUCAUGGGGUAGGCAUGAAUGAUUCCCUCCCAAGAAAAGGCCCUCACUUCAGGUGCCUCUGAGUCUUGGGUAGAGAAACUGUUAUAGAAAAAAUAAAGCCCUAAGAAGGAGGGGCUAUGUCUCUGACAAUUCCAAGUUAAGAUCGAGGAAGAGAUUAAAAAUUCAUGAACCAAAUCAUUGCUUUGUAACUGGCCUUAUGAUGCCAGCUUUGGUCCAAGUGAAGGAGAUGGAGAGAGAGGAAUGCAAAUGGAAAGUAGUUAUUGCUCGGUAUGGCUUGGUGAGUAUUUCUGGCUAUAGGACCACUGCAGGGCUGACAGUCCUUGGCUGAUAGAUUUGCCAGGGUCUGCCACUAAGUCAUUCUGCAGUGAUAGGGUUCCCUUUGGAUAUCAGUCAUGUACUUCAUUUGAAAGAAAAUCUUGGUGGAGAGGAGACAGGUGUGUGAUUUAUUGACUCCUUGUGCAGAGGUGAGUCUGGACUUCCUAACCUUCUGUCUCUGCCCGGAGCACCUCAUAAAGUGUGAAUCUAGAGCAAGCAGGAGGCACUAGGUCAGGCAGAUUCUAGCAUUUUCUAUAACGGCUGAACACUCCUACUCUCCACCCACUGACUUUUCACAACACAGAGAAGGUCAUUUCAAGAUAUUGAAGAGCCAGGCAUACCCACUCUAGUGUAAAACCAACACAUGAGAAGCUGAGGUAGUAGGGUUGUCAUGAGUUCAGAGACAUCCUGGGCUACAGAGUCUCAAAAAUAACAAAAACAACAACAAAAAAAGAGAUUAAAGAAAAAUACACAAUAAAGACAUUUAACUUGUUUUCCUCAAAGAAGCAGACAGGGAGCUAGAGAGAUGACUCAGCGGUUAACUCUUCCAAGGAACCCAAGUUCAGUUCCUAGCACCCACAUCAGAGACUCACAACAGGUUUGGGGGCCAACAAAUUAGAGGAUUAGGGCCAAAUGUUUUGAAAAGGUGAAUGGACAUGCCUUGUCGUGAGCCUUCUGUAUUCCCCCACUACAUGCCAACUGACACUCUCUACUCUGACUAUAUAAAUUCCAUUCCUGUCCUCCCUAGGAUAGGUUGAGAGGUUAAAUCUCAGUCUGCCACUCCCUUAGUGGUCCCUUUUCCUCUCCCUUUCUAAUAACAAGAUGAUAAUCAUAAAUUAUUUUCAGCCCUCUGAAACUAGUAUGCAUAUUCUUGCUUCUAAAAGAGGUUCAGAAGUAGGUAUGUCCAUGACUCCACCUCACUUCUUCCUCCCAGAGCCACAGCAGACCGUUUCCUGUGUUCCCACCAUGCUGGAGUGUCCCUCUGCCAUAACUCCAGCAGACUCUGUCUUUCAAGUUAAUGAUGGUUUGAUUUAAUGAUGGACAUCCAAGUUUUCUCACUGGGAUCUGUAUCCUGAGGGUGUGUUGUUUCCAACCAUUGCCUGCUCCUUCGUGUGUGUGUGUGUGUGUGUGUGUGUGUGUGUGUACACAAGUAUUUGCACACACCCCCUUCAAGGAAGACAGGCAAUAAAUUCUUGCUUAAUGAACACAUAAAUAAGGAAAUGUUUGCCUGACUUUCUAAUAUCCUUCACUUUGUUUUAGUUGGGUUGUUUGUUUAUUUGUUUCUGUUUGGUUUUUUUUGUUUUUGUUUUUGUUUUUUUUUUUUACAUCACUACAACUGUAAGAACUUGAAAUAGAGAAGUUCAAUGAAAAUGUUUACUGUGCUCCAUGGUUUCAAAGGGGACAACCUACAGUGGCUUGGCCCAUGCACUUGAGCAGAAUCAUUGCAUCAGGAAAUCAUGAGAGGGGACUCAACAUCCCCAAGGAUCCUUCUCCCUGUGAGCUACUUCCUCCAACUGACUCCACCUUCUAAAGGUCCUACAACCUUCCCAACAGAGCCCUCAACUGAAAUUUGAGUGAAUAACACAUGGGCCUGUGUGGCAUUUCACAUUCAAAGCAUAAUUUCAUCACUAAAGCUUGAAAUGUGAUUCUGAGGAUGGCAUUUAUUGAACCGUGUGCUUGAGGCUGAGUAAUAUACAGAUACAUCUCUCAUUUGAAGGUAUAAAUGUUCUCAUUCUGAUAUUUAAUCACACUGUGGUUAAUGUGAAGCUCAGUCAAAGUGUGGUCUCAAUGCCAGCUAGCUGUAUCACCCUGUGGAUAAGAAUAAACAACCUGGUUAUAAUUAAGUUGAAUACUUCUUUGAAAGAAGAUGAUACUUCCAGGAACACUGGCAUCUCAGUAUCAUCCCUAGAUACUUGUCCUAGUCACAAACCCAGGUCGAGCUACAUCUCAAAAGCGUUGGCUGCAUUUCUACGUGCUUGUGGCCAGGAGCCCUUACUGGUGGCUGUGAACAAUAUAUGUCUCAAAACCCCCAGACAUGAUGAGGGUUAUAUU